GUGGCCGUAGCUCAGGGGUAGAGCACUGGAUUGUGGCUCCGGGAGUCGCGGGUUCAAAUCCCGUCGGUCACC
rnacentral:tRNA from 1 species